ACAUAUGCAACAAGUUAGGUUGCAUGGACAAGUUGAGUUUCAGUUUAAAUAUAGAAACUCUGGAACAUUUUAUUAUAAAGGAAUAGUGCUGGGAAACUCCUUAAAGAAGUGACUACCAAAGGAACUAUGAGAAGAAGAUAAUAAGAUUAACACUAGAGAACCUUGAAAAGUGAUAUCAGCAGCUAUGGAAACAUCUGCUUGCCAAGCAGUGAUAUAUAUUGGAAGUCACGACAGUUCUUAAGUUGUGUUUUCUGAUGCUGAUGCUGAGGAAGAUGACACCAGGUUAAGCGUGGCCAAAUAUUUUCAGAAUGAAAGAUGUGUGCUUCAGCUCAUGCUCCUCUCACAUUUGGUGGAAGGAGCAACAGUUGAUAUCAUGGUAUGCAAGUCAAGUAGCUGCAGUUACCAAAGGCUUCUUCAGGCAGAAACGGCAAAAUUGCCAAGUUCCACGAGACAAUUUCUUACGGGAGAACAGGCAGGACCCGCGGCCCUGAAAAGGUAGCAAUGAAGCAGACCCGGUUGCUAAAAUGAAAUCGCUUAAUUUGUCACGUGAGCGUGCCUACCCAGAAACUAUGAGCUGCGUUGGAAGAAAGACUGAAAAUACGUAAACUCUAAGAGAAGGUAUCUUUUCAGCGAAAAAUGUGACGUAGUAAUUAAUACCUGGCACUUUCAUAUCAAAAACGCUCUUUUAAACAUUAGUUUUAUUGGUUGAUGAAUAUCUCUGCAGCGUGGCUCUCUCUAUUCAGGCCUCAUAUAUGUGUAAGUUGCGAGGGAAAUAUUUUAAAUCAAAGCUGUAAAAUAAGCAUAGUUAGAGAGCUAACGUGAGGAUUUUUACUUCAUUUACAUUCAUUACAUAUUAUGAGUUUAAUUACCUUCCUCAAAUAAUACCAGUAUGAAGGAAAGAUGCUGAAGAAGGCGUACUUCUAUGAUGAUUUUAUUGAUUGUGACUGAUGGAUGGCACCAACAUUUCAUAGUGAAGAAUCAUGGUUUUGUUACAUCAGGAAAAUUAAAUUGGGAGAGUUAUUUUCUUUCCCAGUGAUAGUGGCAGUUAGAAUAUUUCACCUGUAAUGAGAUGUGUGCGUUAUGUGCCAUCGUGAACCACGGCUCAGCCAUUAAAUAUAUGUAAAUGAAGAGAAACACAAGAGAGCCCGGGCAUAAUAACGUGCAGAACAGAGAAAUGGAUCCUGGAAAGUGAUUAAUUUAUUUGAUGAUGCCUCAAGUGAGGAAUUUUAGGUCACAAAUGAAGUGACAGAAUGACAAAUUACCAUUUUAAAGAAUUUACUGGGCAUCAUUACUGAACAAUUGUCAGGUAGUUUAUGGUGGCUGAGAAGAUGGUAUAAAUAUAGAUCUUUUCCUUAUCUGAGAUGAAUUAUUAAUCACCUUUUUAAAAAUCUUUGUGAGUGAUGGUUGGCUGUCUGAUUGGAAAUAAUGUGUUCUACAAUUUUAACUAAAUUCUAAUAUGAUAUGUAACAGGAAUCUUUACAAUUAAAGUCUCAGUGGAGAGUGGUAGGAGGUUUACAGUCAAUUGCGGUUUUAAUGUGAUAGAAGAGGAUGAAUCCACUCGCAUAUUUCAAUAGAUUUCCUUAGGUAUAUUAUCCCUGCUGUGAUGUUAUUCAAAUGUUUACAGUUUAUUUUCAUUUGAAAAAUGACAUUCAGAUACUUAAAUUGUUUUCCUUGGUUUAUUAGUUAAUGAAAAUGAAAUUCUAGUAAUUACUAUAGUUUUGCAGCCUGCCACAUUAUUUAAAGUGAAGUGACUGCCUUUGUCAGCGGCAUUAUAAAUGUCAUCUUCCUGUGUUUUGUUCAAUUUUUGUUUGCUUUGUCUAUGUUAUGUCCCUUCUCUGUUAUAUGUCACUGUGUCUAAUACCAGUACCAACUGGAGUGUGGAAGACAAAGUUACAAUGUGAAAUAAAGACAUUUUCUCAAGUUUGGGGGUUUUUGGU
ensembl:lncRNA